UAUACCGUGAAACUGCGAAUGGCUCAUUAUAUCAGUUAUCGUUUAUUUGAUAGUACCUUACUACAUGGAUAACCGUGGUAAUUCUAGAGCUAAUACAUGCUAAAAACCCCGACUUUUGGAGGGGUGUAUUUAUUAGAUAAAAAACCAAUGCCCUUCGGGGCUCCUUGGUGAUUCAUAAUAACUUAACGAAUCGCAUGGCCUUGCGCCGGCGAUGGUUCAUUCAAAUUUCUGCCCUAUCAACUUUCGAUGGUAGGAUAGUGGCCUACCAUGGUUUCAACGGGUAACGGGGGAUUAGGGUUCUAUUCCGGAGAGGGAGCCUGAGAAACGGCUACCACAUCCAAGGAAGGCAGCAGGCGCGCAAAUUACCCAAUCCCGACUCGGGGAGGUAGUGACAAUAAAUACUGAUACAGGGCUCUUUUGGGUCUUGUAAUUGGAAUGAGUACAAUUUAAAUCCCUUAACGAGGAACAAUUGGAGGGCAAGUCUGGUGCCAGCAGCCGCGGUAAUUCCAGCUCCAAUAGCGUAUAUUAAAGUUGUUGCAGUUAAAAAGCUCGUAGUUGAACCUUGGGCCUGGCUGGUCGGUCCGCCUCACCGCGUGCACUGAUCCGGCCGGGCCUUUCCUUCUAGGGAUCCACAUGCCCUUCACUGGGUGUGUUGGGGAACUAGGACUUUUACUUUGAAAAAAUUAGAGUGUUCAAAGCAGGCCUAUGCUCGAAUACAUUAGCAUGGAAUAAUAGAAUAGGACGUGUGGUUCUAUUUUGUUGGUUUCUAGGACCGCCGUAAUGAUUAAUAGGGUCGGUCGGGGGUGUCAGUAUUGCGUUGUCAGAGGUGAAAUUCUUGGAUUUACGCAAGACUAACUACUGCGAAAGCAUUCACCAAGGACGUUUUCAUUAAUCAGUGAACGAAAGUUAGGGGAUCGAAGACGAUCAGAUACCGUCGUAGUCUUAACCAUAAACUAUGCCGACUAGGGAUCGGGCGAUGUUAUCUUUUUGACUCGCUCGGCACCUUACGAGAAAUCAAAGUCUUUGGGUUCU
rnacentral:rRNA from 1 species